AGUGAACGCUGGCGGUAGGCCUAACACAUGCAAGUCGAACGGCAGCACAGUAAGAGCUUGCUCUUACGGGUGGCGAGUGGCGGACGGGUGAGGAAUACAUCGGAAUCUACUUUUUCGUGGGGGAUAACGUAGGGAAACUUACGCUAAUACCGCAUACGACCUACGGGUGAAAGCAGGGGAUCUUCGGACCUUGCGCGAUUGAAUGAGCCGAUGUCGGAUUAGCUAGUUGGCGGGGUAAAGGCCCACCAAGGCGACGAUCCGUAGCUGGUCUGAGAGGAUGAUCCGCCACACUGGAACUGAGACACGGUCCAGACUCCUACGGGAGGCAGCAGUGGGGAAUAUUGGACAAUGGGCGCAAGCCUGAUCCAGCCAUACCGCGUGGGUGAAGAAGGCCUUCGGGUUGUUAAGCCCUUUUGUUGGGAAAGAAAAGCAGCAGGUUAAUACCCCGCUGUCCUGACGGUACCCAAAGAAUAAGCACCGGCUAACUUCGUG
rnacentral:rRNA from 1 species